ACCACCCCUUCUGCGCCUCCAUAUAAACCCCACCCAGCCAGCCCCUAGCGCAGACCGCGGAGAGCUGAGAUGGAGCGCGCCUUGGCUUGCUAGCCCAAGGCUGCAGCUCCUCCGAAGAGCCGGGGCGCCCACGCGAGAAUCCCUCUCUUGGGUCUCUCUUCAGGGAUGACAUCAUCGGUUCACCCCUUCGUCUUCAAGGACCACCUUCUCCGAUGUCAAGCUGCUGCCAAGAGAGCACCCUGAGUGUGGACUCCUGGAUCCCACCAGCAUACCAAGCAGCCUCCAGGAGCCACCAAGACCAGGACGACGUGGGAUGAAGAGGACCAGAGCCCACCCUCUGCUGACCCUUCCGGCUAAAGACUUAAACCAAUGCCCUAGUGAGGGGGCAUUGGCGGGUAGCCCCUGCCUGUGCUUGAGCUCGUGUGUGUGUGUGCUUUCCUGGGCCUUCUGCUUGUGUUCACCUGCCAGCCACCUGGAGUGCUUCCCUCCCCAAGGGGUGUCGGCCUUUUUAUGGCCGACUGUGUCAUUGAUGUCCUGUGUGGAAGGAUCCCUUUGGGAACUUCUCAGGAGGGGGACCUGGGCCAAGAGCUUGACGUGCCUCAUGGGCAACUCGGGGCCCCUGGUGGGCUUGUGGAAUGAGCAUGCGCCUGACCCACCGAAGGCAUGCCCCGCCUGUUUCGAGGUCUUCCUGUCCUUUUCUAGGGAAUGGGGAUGAUAGGAGCAACCUCCUAGGGCUGUUGUGAGAAUUAAAUGACCCAGAGAAGCCUGGGGCCGGACCGGGUGUGGAGGAGGUGACUCCCGGCAGCCCCCACGCUUGGGGCUCUCCUUGCAUCAGGCAGGGGCUCCACUAACAUGGCCAUCGGGCGGACUUGACCCAGCUUCUCCAAAGACCUGUCUACACUCGCUGCUUUCCUUCCUCACCUCCAUUUCCUCUUCAGCCCACUGCUUCCUGCUCCGUCCAGCGCCUCUCCCUCAGUUUCCAACAGGUUCCUGGUUCCCGUGAGACGAGCCUGCUGGAGUCUCCGUCUCAUGCCACCACCCUCAGAGGCUACCUCCUGUGAGCCUCGCCUAGUCUGAGUGACCCCGGGCUGUAGCUGAACUUACAUCCCAUCCUGCUGGCCCCAGAGACCCCCGUUUCCUGCCUGCCGGACUCGUCCACCGUGGACGGCGUGGGACCAUAGCCGAGUUGGCCGAAGAUCGUGGAUGGACGUGCGGAGGACCCCCACCACCGGACCAGACCCUUCUUCUUCUCUACCUGCCUCUGGCCUCCUUCCAGGAUUGGGCCGAGACCCUCACCUGAAAUCCAGCGUGGGAAAGGACCCCAGCGCCCCGGACACAGCACCCCGGCACCUUCCAGCCCUGAAUCGGCAGACUAGGAUGGAAGUGCCCUUGUGAGCUGGGGGCCCUUCACAGGGCCAAGGAGAAAAUGCAGGCCCAGGGACCAGCCUCUCAAUUGGGCUUCGAGCUCCAAUGACCUGCGUUCACCCCCUCGAAAUGUCUGGAACACAUAAUGGGCAGGUUUUCUGUCUUCAAAGUUUCCGGCUAAACCUCUUCAAGUUCUUUAUUGUUUGAGACUGAGACACUCAGCGAUGGUAAUAGGGAGUUUCUUUUGUAUUUGCCUUGAAAGGCCAAAAUAUUUGUAUAUUGCUACAGACAAAGCCACCUAUUUAAAAGUGAACCCUGUGUCCGCCGUUUCCCACCGCGCGCGAGACUAUGUACCAUGUGUGUGUCUAUGUAUUCUGGGGUCUUGAAACAGGUUUCUCAUGGGGAUGGCCAUUCAUGGGGUCCAGAGGGGCAGAGCAGGAAGCGCCUGCCCUCCCAAGGGGGUCUGGGGAAUGGGGGUUGUAACCUUGGCUCAGCCCCCAGUAGGUCUAGGAUGUGAGCCCUGGGAGAAUCUUAACAGUAAACUAGCAUUUGUCUGUCUCUGCUGUGCAUCUGCCAUUCAUGUGUGUCUCUGAACUGUGGGUUUGUGACUGUGGUGGCUAAGUUGUGGGAGGAAGCAGGAAAGUCCUAAGAGGAGUGAGUGUUUUCGAUUUCUUGUUGGGAUGUUGUCACACUGUGUAACAAGUGAUUAGAUGGAUGAGUGAAUAGAAGGGGCAAGGAGUGAGGGGACCAACAAUACAUGUGGAGUGACAGGCCAGCCGGGAAGUGUGCGCGGACCAUGCAACCUGCUGCCCCAAGGUCAACACUUAGAUCCAUACAGCAUUGGAUCUGUAAGUAGGGAGGGCCAAACACGAGCUAGUAUUUGUGCAAAUACACAAAUGCCAAAACAAAGGAAGGAAAGAAAAAGAGUGAUGGAUAUGUGGACAGGUGAACAGGAACAGUAGAAAUGAGUGUCCCCAGGUGACAGGUGAGACGGGUCUGAGGGGAUUUGAGUCACCAAGUGCUGGGAAAUGAGCUCUGCUAGAUGGAAGGAGAAAAAAGAAAAUAUAGAUAAGCUACAACCCUAAGAAGAAAAAUGUCACAAAUGUUAAGUAUAGAAACAUGGAUGGGCAAAUCAACAAAGAUAGAAAAGGAGGUGAUGUUGGAGUCAUGGAGAUUCAAUACAAUAAGUGUCAGGGCCUCAGUGAAACACUAAGUAUCUAAAUGAACCAGUCAGUGAGUGUUGAAAGAAAGGGCCACGGGCAGUGGCACACACCUGUAAUCCCCGAAGCUCAGAAGGCCGAGGCAGGAGAAUCACAAGUUCAAAGCCAGCCUUGGUAACUUAGUGAGACCGUGUCUCAAAUUAAGGUCUGGGGAUGUGGCUCAGUGGUUAGGCACCCCUGGGUUCAGUUCCCAGUGCCAAAUUAAAAAAUAAACAGGAUGGGGGCCUGGAGAGGGUGUUGUUGUAUUUGGUUCCCGCACCCCACCCAGCACCCCAGCUCCAUGGGAGCGAGAGAAGGGACAGAGACAAGGGCCAAAAGGUCAUAGCUAUGAAAUGGAGAAACGGGUGGGUCCAUGAGAGGGGCUUGGGCUAGGAGUCCAACUCUGAGCACCUCAUUCCACUAGUAGAAGAUUAAAUGCAGCCUAAAGAGAAGGAAGGAAAGGAGAGAGGAGACGGCGCUGCGUGGGCCGCCCAGGGUGUGUGCAGCGUCCUCCUGACCCUGCCGUCCACGCAGCGCUCCGCCCUGCGUCUUCCUUGCCUACUCUGAUUCAUGUCAAAGAAUGAGAGCCUGCAAGGAAGAGGGGGGAGAGGCACAAAGAAAAAUGGAAGGACAUGUACAAAUCACGCACAAAUUAGCUGCCAAAGAAGAAAGAGAACGUAUUAACAAGUAAAUAGACGCACAGAGGCAGGAGAGAAAGCCAGGCCAGGAUGAAAGGCUGUGGGGACCGAGCACACUGGUUAAUUGACAUCAGUGCUUCUGAGACGGACAAGGACCCACCGACCAAGAGACAGUUCAAAGCGAAAAUAUGUUGGGGAGGACUUCGGUGGGGCCAGGGAGGUGGGCCCAUUAACCGCAGAUAUUAUGUAUCCAAUUACGUGCACCUGUCAUCAAGAGGUGCAGAGUGAGUAUUUAAACAGAGAGAGAGACUGAAUAGAUGCACGAAUGCACGAAUGAAUGAAGGAGGAAAAAAGAUCUGCGUUCACCAAUGGGCAGCUCUCGUAGAGCAGCUUAGGGUCAUCCAAUCCUGGGUGCGGGUGUCCCAAAGAAUCAAAGGGGAAAGAAUGAUAGAAACCAUCAGAUGAGGGGAAAUGAGGGGAAAAAGAAGUAUAAAAGAUAAUAAGUGGAACAAUUAAGUCUCUGAGAGGAGGGUCUGUUUAGUGCGAGCCAUCAGCAUGAAUCACAAAUUGUGGCCCUGGGCCGGUGGGUAGCUCAGUGGUAGGAGAGCUGGUCUGCUGGUUCCCUCUCCAGCAUCGCACACACAGGCGCACACACAGACGAACAAAUUGUGGUCCAAGUGGUCCAAGCCAGAGGCUGCGAGAAGGAAUCGAGGCAGGUGUUAGCACCAGAUCACAAGAAAAAGAGCCAGAAAAAGGGGGAAGAUGUAGGAAAAGAAUUAAAAUAGACACGCAGAAGAGAAGGCCCUGGCUGGAUAAGUACUUAAAUAUUAUGAGUAAAUGUUAUUAAACGUAGAGAAGAGUAACCGCGGAGGUUCCUCAGUCGAAGAGCAAAUAUCAGAAAGAACGGAGUGAGGAGUGGCUGGGGUAAACACACGAGGGGCCAUGCUCGUGAUUAAUCCCCUCUGCACACGAGCCUCUCACAGACACAAGAAUGCAAGAGGGAGAAAGAGGAGGGAUGUGGAAAAUUGUGACAAGAUGGAUGCAGGCAAUGAAUCCACCGAUCGCAUAAACAAAUGCACAUGAAUACGUGAGAGGCAGCCUCGCCAGCACAAGAAAUGAGAAGGCAGCAAGAAUUAUGACACAUUUCCCCACCGGGCCCCUGAGAUAGGUAAAUAAAUCCUAGGCCAAAUCACCAGUACAAGGAAUUUCCGAACAAAAGAAAGCCCCACGUGGCCCCGUGUUGAGAAGGCCCUGGGAACCUCGGACGUGGCUAAUCCAAUUCUGUGCACCUGAGGUCCAUCAAUAAAAGAAUAAAUAUUGAAGUAAAAGAGUGACAGAAAGAAUGAAUGGACACAUGAAUGACGGAAUUAGAAAUGGAAAUGUUGGGAAUAGCCCGGGAGGGCCACCCAGGGGAGUUGGCUCAUCUCCUUUGCGCACCUGAGGUCCCUAGGCAUGACAGAGGCAAGAGAGAAGGAAGGGCGAGGUGGAGCCAGAUAAAGGAAAAGGGAGGUAAAGGGACCAAUAAAAUCGGCCACCAGGACGUGGGUGUGUCUGGAAGAGGCAGAUCUGUGAGGGUUAGUAAUGAGGUUGUCGCUAAGCCUUAAGAUGGAUGAGAUAAUUCAGACCCAGACCCGGGUUCCCAGGAGGAGGGAGAAAGAGAGAAGAGAGAGAGAAAAAAAAAAGAAACCAAAAAAAAAAAAGGCAAUAAACAAGCAACCAAAGUGAUAAAUGGGUAAUUAAGAGAGAGUGCGUGAAAGGGGAUUAUGAGUUCACACGCAUCCUCCUUAAAUAGAUAAACACGUUACACCUUCACAGAACACACGAAAAAUAAAGGACCAGGCUGGUCUUAAAGAGGGCUGCACCUUCCAGCACGGUGAUAAAACGUCUGCAGUUGAGGCCCAUCAGUGAAAGGAUAAAUACUUAAGUGGAAAAGGUGACUAAAUGCGGGGGAGAAAGAUCGCAAAUGCGAGUGAAUACCGGGGCCGGAGAGCUGCUGCUUCCGCACGACUUUCAGGUCGUGGCUGAUGCAGUUAAUGUUCACAGGAGACUUAAUAGGUAAAAGCGUUUCCCCACGAGUCAGGGAGGACAAAUGGAUGCAUAAAUAGGAAGCGAGGGAAGGCACGAAAAUUGAGAAAUGGAGCUUCGUGGAUCAAGGAUGAGGGCGUCGUAGGUGGGUCUUGAUUGGUCCGAUUUGGUACAUGGAGUUUAUAAAAAAACGAGAGACUCUAAGUAAAGAGAGAAAGAAAGGGAGAAGGAUGAAUUAAAAGUGAGGAACAAAAAUAACAUAUGAAUAAACAAAUGGGGCUUGUGAAGAGAGGCCUCCACGACCCGGGGGUUCUGCUGAGUUUACAGCUGCCCCGUGGACGCCAUAAACAAAGAGCUCAGAGCAAAGGCAGAGUGAGUGAUGGGGGAGGAGUGGUGGGGAUGGAGGAAGACAGGUGUGCAGAAGGAGAGAGGGCAGCGGAGACCCCCCCCAGUUCUUGUGCCCACUAGUCCUGUGGCCUGGCCAGGUGAAUGGGUGGCUGCCCGAGGGAUGGCAGUUGCGGUGUCCUGGGUGGAUCACCUGUGGUUUCCUGGCUGGAGGACUUGGCUCAGGAGGACCUGGCCUUGGGUGUGGUGCCAUGUGUCGGUUGUGUGGGCCAUUUCGCUUCCUCAUCUUGUCCUCGGUUUCCUUGAGUGGUCUUGCAAUGGCCUCAGCUUCCCCGCAUGGGCUGAAGAUGGGGGUACAUGCUUGUCUCUGCCCACUGUUCCGUUUGCCACCCUGGGUAGGCAGGAAGGGCUCAGGCCCUGGGUCCUGCAGAAAGUUGCAAGAACAAGGGGUGUUAAGCCCAGGGGGUGUCUUGGCCCCUCCCUGGGCAGGGGUCACCUGUGAGCUCCCUGUGGGGGAGGCUUUGCCCACCAGGGGGCAGCAGAGGUAGGGAGCAGGAGGCCCUGGGUGGAGCUUGGGCUCUGUCCAGCGUGGGCUGCCCUGGCUGUGACUGCUGGCCACCACCAGGGGCUCACACAGGAGAAGGCCGGGGAGUGUCCAGGCACAUCUGAGGAGGGUGGCCCAGUAGCCCAGGGAACCAGGAGCCCUGGGAGAAGCACCAGGACUUUGUUCUUGCGACUCUGCAGUGUGCCAGCAGGGCACCGCCCUUCUCCACCCUCAGCCCACGUGUGCAGACGCGGUCCUGGGUCCUGGGCCCCGACGUGGCACUCCCGGAGCCUGUUUCAAGGCCUUUCUUCUUGGCGAUUUACCUUGUACUCUGUACUCUGGUGGAAAGUGUCUUGGCUCUCUGUGUGGAAGCUGCCUUCUCAGGCUCUUCCCCGGGGCUGCGGGGGACACCUGGAGAAUCGGCUGACCUGACGUCCCCCCAGGGAGUCCCCUUUCUCUGUAGUGGACAAGAUCCGUGCACUCAUGGGAUGUGCCUGGAUUUGUCUGUAGACAGAAGGACCCAGAUCCCCUUGACUUGCCAGUUCAUAUUUGGGUCAUCAGAAACAUUCUUUUUUCCUUCUUACCAAGUGCCCAGAGCAAGCAGAGGUCACCUUAGCUGGACCCCGGCAGCACGUGUACACCAGGGGAGUGGGGCGGAGCCACGUGGUUGGUGGCAGGUGGGCUCCAGAGGGUUUGUAGAGCGGUGGGAAAGGGCCUGGCGUAGUCCAGUGGCGGGAGGUCUGAGCGAGGGGGUGGAGUGGGGCACGGGCAAAGCUUGAGGCUGGUAGGUGGGUGAAGACGUUCAGAAGAGGGGUGAGGAAGAUGAGGGACUUCUCAGCUCCUAGCACAGGCCCCGAUGGAUGACAACGGUCUUUAGAACAUGGAGGACAUGGAAUUCACGUGUCAGAAGCCACCUUCUGUGCCCCCAGCACCACGUGUCUGGGCCACGUGAGCAGCUCACGUGGCCCUGACGUGGGGCUAGGGCCGCAGGGGUCUGCUGGCCUCCUCUUUCAGAAUCUGGGGGCUCUGGUCUCUACCUCGACUGGCCGGAACCUGGAGGUGCACCUAUCAUUCCAGGACACCUGCUGAAUGGGUUUCUGAAGAUCUCCAGACGAGCCCAGGGGUCACUGUGGGAUGGGGAACAGGUGGGAGGGGCUCAGGACAGGAAGAAACCAGGGGGUCUUUGGGGUGAACCCACGUUCACGUAUUUAGAAGCCGGCGGAGGCUCAGAAGACUGCAAGUUUGGGGUGCAGAAGGGAAGCGGGAGGGGGGCCACAGCUGUGCACCAGGAGGAGAUGGGAAGGACAGGGGCUAGAGCAGGGCAGGUCUCUAGGAGAGCUGGCUGUUCACAUUGUUAAAAACGGGGCUUUUUUUUUUUUUUGUGGUACCAGGGAUCGAGCCACACCCGCUGCCCUGUUUUAUAUUUUAAGUUGCUUAGGGCCUCACAAAGAUGCUAAGGCUGGCUUUGAACUUGUGAUCCUUCUGCCUCAGCCCCUGGAGUCACUGGGAUUACAAGUGUGGCCACUGUAUCUGGGCUGUCCAAGGGGCCCUGAGGGGCCAUUCUGAGUGGCCACCAUGGACAUACUUAACCCCUAGGGGUGGGUGGGAGCCCAUAGGACCUUUGAGUCCCUAGUUUUACAUCCUGAGUUUCAAAGUUGGUAGGGCUCAGAAACCAGGUGGAGUGAUGUGCACGUGCUCUCUGGGCCAGGAUCCCGGGCCUCCUGCCGGAUCAGGGCUGGUUUCAACUUUAUAAAGCAGGGAAAAAAUUUGUCCUGAUUGACAUUUGCGUGUACCCCACCCACGACUUUCCCUGGUGACAUCAGGGGCUGCUACUCUCCUGGGUCUCCCCCUGCGACUCCCAGUCCCUCCUUGGGACAGGUGCGCUGAGUUACUGAUGCUCCUAGUGUGCAGCUGUGGAUGGCGCGUGACCCGGAGGGAGGGAACCACGGCUCAACCCCUCUGUCCCCUCUCAUGCCAUGCUUUCUUUUUGCUCUUCAGAUUCAUGUCUGAUGGCCACCCAUUUUUUUCAAAUGAACAUUUUUUUUAUGAGCAUGCGUCCUUUAAACCCACCUGAUUGCCACUGUUCACCACACACUCUCCCCCCGCUGCGUCCUGUCUGUACCCCUCCCUAUUCUGCCAUCCACACUUUUCUUUGUUCAUCGGCUUCAUGACCUCUCUGCAUUGGACCCCUUUGAGUGGCUGUGGUGUCAUUUGUAAAUCCACCCUGCUUUUGUCAUGCAUAAAUCAUCUCUCUCUCUUUUUUUUUAAUCUUGCAAAUUAUGUCACAACUAACAGCUGAGCACACCCACUUUUUUUGUUCAUCCUUGUGAAGCACCUUCUCACCCCCAGAAAUUAUCAUUGCUUCAUUAACUGUCAGCGUCUCCUGCUAGACUGUGAGCCCCUUAAGGGCAAGGAGCUUGUGGAAUUGAUCUUUGUGUCUCCAGUGCCCGACAGGUAGACUCUAAAUAGAUGUUGGAUGAGCGGGUGGAAAUGUGGUGGAAAUUCGGGUGAGCGAGUGGGUGAUUGGCAGGUAGGAGAGGAUGGAGGAUGUGCGCUUGGGUGGAUCAGUGAAUGAACGAAUGAGUUUUCUAUGGUGGAGCUAUUUGAAUGAGAGCCUAGGGAUUUUUGUGUGAAUAUUGAUUACUUUUAGAAGGCUUCCGGCGUGUUACAAUGUUUAGCAAUGUAUUAGCAUUUUCUAAAGGUAUCUGCUGGGUUUUCUCUGUUAAGAAGUGCUUUGGCAUCGUUUUAACUUGCUCUGAAUACUAAUGUCGGUUUUUUAUCUAUGCUUAUUAACAACCUGUAUCUUCUCUUCUGUGAACUGUUUGUCCAAGUCCAUUGGGUCAUGGCUUUCUGAAGAGACCGGUCAAGGGUGUCCUGUGGGUGUAGGGAGCCUCUCUGUCACUAGAGGUGUCCAGGGAGUCACCAGGCAAGGCACAGGGUAGUUUUAGGGAGUUCCCAUCAUGAUGUUUGGGUGGCCAAGCUGGCCUCUCAGGUCAGUUUGACUUUAGGAAUUACUUACCCCUGAAAAAUGGGUGGUGGGGACAGGGACACCUUUCUCUGGUGGGUGGGGACAUACACAAUUGCAUUCCCUAAAUGUGCUGUGCCCAUCAUGGCUUGUCAACUCUGGUCUCACCCUGUGGAGCCCUGUGGGUGGGCAGUAGUACCUUUCUGACUCCCCUGAGGUCUGGGUGACAUGCCCAGCACCUUGUACAGUCAGGGUGGGCUUUUGAACCUGCCCAGUAACCUCCCCUGUUGUUCCUCCAGCGGGGCCUCUGUUUCCCCUUAGAGAGCUGGGUUCCCAUGUCCUGUGACGUGCCAGCCAACAUCCCUGAGUCCUGGCCUGCACAGCUGGCCUCGCUGCUGGCGCCGGGGUUCUGAGUUCUAGGUCAGAACUGGUGGAGAAUCUUCUUCCAUUCCCCCAGGUACAGUUCCAUCCCCUAAUCUGAGGAGUGCCAUGGACCUUACACCCUUCUGGGUGUCCCCUGGCCUCUUACCUCAAAGUUAGCCAGGGUCACAGCCACCUGGGGAGGGCACAGGACCCGAGGAGGGCUUUCCUCCACCCCCCGUCCCCAGCAGAGAGCCACUGCCACCGACCCGCCCCUCUACUAUAGCACUCAGCGCCGUCUGCCUGCGUCUGAACCCUCACCCAUGUGUACCUUGGCAUCAAAGCUUGGGAGGCCAGGGCCACUCUCACCAUGACCUCCACCCACUGCCCCUCCAUGCCUUCGGCCUGUGUGUCUCGGCUGGUGCUUUGGCCUUCCCCUUCCUGAGAGCAAAGCCUUUCCCUGUGGGGCGGGCCGUGUCGUGCCCUGGGCUGUGGUCAUGACGCCAACACCCUUCUUCGUACCUUCCCCUUGGGGUCACUGCUCUGAGCACGUCCCAGCCUGGUCUCAUCCUCCACGGUCACUCCCAUGGCCUCUUCCCAUGGUGCUUUUCCAUGCAUCACACACUGCGACUGUGGUCCAGGGUCAGGGUCUAGAGGGGCGCAGGGGCUGAGCCCUCCCGACCCACACGGAGAUGGUCCCCUCCACCCCGGGCCUCUCCUUGCCUGGCGCAUGGUCCCUGCCAUGAGCUUUGCCUCCAGCCUGUGGCUUAUCACACCCGAUGGCAGUGGUUGUAACUCAUCCGUCAUCACUUCAUCCCUCCAUCCAGCACUCACACUCAAUGAACAUCUUCAAAAACCAGCUAGUGCUAUACUAGAGUCGGCUCCCAAGGUCUCGAGAGAGAAGGUGCCAUAUUUGUGGGUCCGAAACCAGGCAACCUCUUGAUUCAUCUCAGACUUCUGGAUCUGAGCUCUGUCUGGAGGUCGAUUGUUCUACAGCUUUGUUCCUUACAAAACUAGGCUGAUUAGUAACCAGCAAACUGUUCCCCGAGUCUGUUUCCUAAGGGGCCAGAGGGAGAGCUGAGGCCCUGCUGCGGGCACUGGUGCAGGCGUUUAAGGCACUAAGAAGCUCCGAUCUUUGGCUUCGGCCUCUGAGAGCGAUUCCUGCCCGUUCUGAGAUUAGUUAAUGCUCACCUCCAGUUAGAGAAAAUGGCAGGAGGUGAUGCUCCUGGAGGAGGCUGGGAUCAUGCUCCAGGCAGGGGUCCACGCAGAGCAGUCCGUUGGCAGCCCCGGGCACACGAGGCACAGGCCCUGAUCACAUCCUGAACUUAGCGCUCAGUGUUGUGCACUUCUCAGCCAGUGAGCCCUCUGCUCCCACCAGCUGGGGGAAGCGCCAGGCUUGGGGCCACACCUAAGACUGAGCCUGACUCCUGGCAUUGGGGACGAGCGGUAGCAUGGGAAGCCAGGACCCCGGAGCUGGACAAAUUGUAUGGUUUAACCUUUCUGUGAGAGUCUUGAGUCUUGUGGAGCACCAUGGUACCCACCUCGCAGGGCUGUUGUGAGGACCUGUGUAACUGCAGUUGUGAUUGUGAUUCUGGAAGGGUGGUUUGCGUGCCCCCGGGGAUAUGCCAGAGGAGGGGGGAGGGGGCUGCCUCAUUCUGGCAGCUUCGUAGGAAAUUAUCAUUUUAACCACGCAGGGCAUAUUGGGGGUACAGUGCUACAUUUGUAUGACAUUUUAAGAUGAAAUAGGAGCGACUUUGACGGGAAGUUUCAGGCCAGGGGCUGGGGGCUCUGGGUGGUACCUCUGGCUCCCCGGGGGUGCGCAUUCACGCCCACCUCUGUGAAGGGUGGGAAGGGUCUGGCUGUGCUUUCUGGUGGCUUGAGCUGUGCCUCUGCGUCUGGCCUGUGGUCAGCACCUCCUUAUGUCCUUCUCCAAAAGCCCCUCCCAGGGUGCCUCAGGCACUGGGCAGCCUCUUGCCCUGCACUCUGUGCCUUUCCCCUCUGGCAACAUUUGGGCUCAAAGGCCAGCAGUCUGGGUGCCUGACGCAGAGCCUGGCCAGUGGCAGGGCUCCCCUUCUCUGGUUGAGUGGAUGGACAGCUAACGAAGUUGUAACCAAUCCCAGGUGGCGGAUGUUUAUAACCUCUACUGUAUUUUGCUCUUAAUUAACCUGUUUACAAUUGUUACAUUGUAUCUUGCCGACUUUUGUACGCCCUGCGUUGUUUGGAAACCAGGAUUCUUGUUUCAGCUAUCAUGUAAUGAAACUCGAGCUGUUAGCUGUCUGAAAGGAGUCUGUGUUUUAUGUUAGAAAGAGCCCAGAUGUUGGAAUCUGGCAGGUCUCAGGGCCACUUGAGUCCCUGUGUAGUAUUGAUUCUGUCAGCUCUGCCCCUCUGACCCUGGGUCUCCUUUUCUCCAAGGUGUGUGUCAGGAGAAAGCCUACCUCACAGGGUUGUUGUGAGGGCCACGGGCCUGGUGCUCUGAGACCGUGCUGCGCACAGGCUGGCUUUCAUCAGGAAGGGUCACAUGCUGAGGGUGGCCUUGAGAGGCCCAGAGAUGCCUUUUAUGAGUUGUAGGUGAAUAAAAAGUCAGCAUCGGCCUCGGGGCCUUAGGCUGUAUUUCCAACAGUUGACGGCCGUGCGGGCGACCAGCGUUUCAGCCACAGGGGCCCGAGUAAUUGUUCGAUUGAGUGCUGGCUCUUCCCUCUCCUGCUCUCUCUCCUGGGCUGCCGCUGUAGGUGCAGGCUGCCUGGCCACUCUGCUUUGGCUGCCCCCUCUGCAAACACCUGUGUGUGCCCCCUGGCUUAGCUGGUUGGAGAGGGAUAGUGGGGGCACUUUAGAGAGGACGAAGAGCUUUGGUGGCAUCUCUGGGGGGCCAAAGAUCUUGUCCUUUAGUGGAAAGGCCUGUGUUUCUAACCUUCUACAGUCCUUUCCUGUAAAGGAUUCAGUCUCUAGCACCCUACCUAGCCUGCCACCAAGCUCAGGACUUCCACACACUUCUCCCUCCUGCCCCUGGGGUGUGGGCCCAUUGUAUUGGUGAGCAGACCGAGAGCCAGGGACAGCUGGGUGUCAGAGCUAGGACCCAACAGCCUCGUGUGAAGAGCUCUUUUGACGUCUCUGAACGUGGCCUCCCGGUUUCUCUGUCUCACUCUGCCCACCCCCAGCAAGUGUGCCCGCAUCCCUGUCCCCGUGGUGUGCCUGUCCCUGGCACAGUGACGUGGGAGGGGUACGGAGGCCAUGGCCCUCCAGGAAGCCUGGUUAGACAUGGAGAGUGGGCCACUGCCCCCCGGGGCCUCUCGGCCUCCCUGUUGAAUUCCCGCCCCGGCCCCCUUCCUUCACAGGACCCUCCCUCUCCCUCCUUUCGCCUCUGGCUUUCUUGGCCUUGGUGGUCAGCCUGGCCUCCUUCGUGGCCCUUGGUCUUGUCAGCCUGGCCUCCUCUGGCAGAAGCCUCGGCUCCUGUGGUUACGUCUGUCCUCCGCGCUGUUGCCCCUCUGUGCCCGCCGUGCCCCCACCGGGAGGCUGAGUCUGCACCCUGUCCUCCCCUGUCCUCAGUGACGGAGGCCUUGCCUCUGUGUUCCCAAGAGUCCCCCAGUAGGAACAGGUAGUCAGGUCCCUCUUCCCAGGAGCUUUGCCUGUGUCUAGGUGUCUGUUCCAACAGGCUUGGGCUCCCUGCAGGCCAGGCCUGUGUGUGACCCAGGGUGGGACACUGUCAGGUACCUCCUGUCCCCUGGAGAUGAGCAGGUGGGAGUCCAGGGGCUCAGAGAGGUCAUAGGUAAGUGUGUGACCCCACCCCGCCCCGCCGAGGCCGCAUCUCCAACCCUGCAGCCCUGCUUUCUGCGCUGAGAGGUGCUUAAUGGUUGCUCACUGACAGGAGGGCAGGUCUGAAUGUGUGUGAAGAGUGGCGCGGGCCGAAUGGCUGAGGCACAUGACUUGGUUUAAGAGGACGAGGCCUGUUUUCUCGGCAGAAGCCCUCAGGGUCUCUGCUUGAGGCCUCAGCCUGGGGAGCUGGUAGCACCUUGAGGUCUCUCCUGUUGGAAAUAUGAUUUUGGAAAUAUUCGUAUCCAGAAUAAAAUCUCCUGAGCUGAAAUGUCCUGGUUGGUGUCGUGGCCCGAGUGAUUCUGACGUGACACUUGCCGAGUGCCAGGUUGUAGGGCCCACUUGGCCAUGCCUGUAUCCUCUCUGACCCAUCGGAAACCUUUGCCCUGGUGAUCCACCUGAAAAGUCUUUGUCCCCACCACUGGUGACAGUCAGCUUUGUCUUGUGAGACCUAUGCCAAGUUUGGGCAGUCAGCAAUCCCAGGUGGGGAGGGUAGAAGUGAUUGGACGCCAGACCUUGAUUUCUUUUCUCUGUGCAGGGCACGUGCCUGGGUGGGGCUCCCGGGGUCUUGUCCAUUGGGCUCUGGUCCUUGGGUUUCAUUUGCCAGCUGAGUGCUCUUGGGCAGGUUCCUUGGACUGUCCUGAGCCUUCUUUGCCCACCUGUGGAAGUGGCACUGGAGGGCCGUUCCUGCUCAGGGGAAGGCGGUGAGCUCCAAGAGCACCAGGUCUGCACCAUGUUGUGCACCACCCUUGGGCUUGGGAGAACCAGGGUCUAGGUUUGAGGCCACCCUAGCCAUGUGGUUUUGGGUGUGUUUGCUCAUCUGUAACAUGGAAACUGUCACACCUAUGUGGCACUGCUAUUGUAGGCUUCAAUGAAAUUGUGAAAUAAUGCUGUGUUACCUGGCACAUAGGUGCCUUCAGCCUUGUCGUCCUGGGGCGCCUGGCUCUGAGGACCUGGCCACAGCACCCUGCCAUCUGUGGGUUUGGGGAAACUCUGCUGGUCCACAUGGUGCAAUAGCGGGGGGGUGGGGAGCAGCACCUGGCCAGCUCUGGGGAGACAGAGAUGGAGGAAAGAUUCUUUAAACACUGAGAUGCAACAGGUUAGGAGGGGGAGAUGGAGGCAGAAGUGGGAGGAUCAGGAGGGCUGAGGACUGUGGGAGGCUGAGCAGGUAACGUGUUGGGUAGCAGGACCGGGCACAGCUUUGAGGAAAGCUGGGAGCUCCCGAUUCUGGGUUAGAGCACAGGAGCUGGUGGCUGGGUGCUGCCCCUACCCCCAUGGCUGCCCAGAGGCGGGGCCUUCUCCCCAUGUGGCCAGGCAUCCUCUCCUGCCGCCCCGAGCCUGCCUGUCUGCAUGAGAUCUCUGUCAGCCGGUGGGACCGGGAGCAGGUAGAUUCAUCUCCACCCGUCUCUCUCAGCCUCCACAGCCGCGGGGACGCCCUGCACACCUUCCCACGGGACAGGCCGGACCACGACUCUGGACCGGGGCCUCCCCUUGAGUAGAGACCCACUCUGUGACUGAUGGACUACACUGACCUGGGGGUCACACACGUGGGCUUGACCCCCACUCACUACCCACGAACCCUGAGACUUGGGGGAACUGCUGAGCUUCCAGUGUCCACGUGUGAAGUGGGCUGGGACCUACCUCACAGGGCUGUUGUGAGGCGCCGCAUGAUGUGGUUCGCGAGCACAGGGCUGGCCACACCCCCGUGCGCUCAAUAAAUGUUUCUUGUCUUCACAAAA